rnacentral:rRNA from 1 species
GGUGAACGCUGGCGGCGUGCCUAAUACAUGCAAGUCGAGCGAACAGACGAGGAGCUUGCUCCUCUGACGUUAGCGGCGGACGGGUGAGUAACACGUGAAUAGCCUACCUAUAAGACUGGGAUAACUUCGGGAAACCGGAGCUAAUACCGGAUAAUAUAUUGAACCGCAUGGUUCAAUAGUGAAAGACGGUUUUGCUGUCACUUAUAGAUGGAUCCGCGCCGCAUUAGCUAGUUGGUAAGGUAACGGCUUACCAAGGCAACGAUGCGUAGCCGACCUGAGAGGGUGAUCGGCCACACUGGAACUGAGACACGGUCCAGACUCCUACGGGAGGCAGCAGUAGGGAAUCUUCCGCGAUGGGCGAAAGCCUGACGGAGCAACGCCGCGUGAGUGAUGAAGGUCUUCGGAUCGUAAAACUCUGUUAUUAGGGAAGAACAAAUGUGUAAGUAACUAUGCACGUCUUGACGGUACCUAAUCAGAAAGCCACGGCUAACUACGUG